CGCCCCCUGGGCCAUUACCCCGACCGUCACUUCACCGAGGCCGCCCCGCGCUCCCUGAUCCGGCGCUUCCGGCGCCGCCUGCGCCGAAUCUCGCGCCAGAUCCGGCCCGGAACGCGGCGCUGGAGCGGCCCUACCCGUACCUGGACCCCGAGAACAUCGAGAACAGCGUGGCCAUCUGAGACACCCCAAAUAUCCCAAAUUCACCCCAAAAAUCACCCCGAAAUAGUCCAAAAAUAUCCCAAAAAACCGGCAAAAAACCCCCCCAAAAAUACCCCAAAUUCACCCCAAAAAUCAUCCCAAAAUAGCCCUGCCCCUACCUGGACCCCGAGAACAUCGAGAACAGCGUGGCCAUCUGAGACACCCCCAAAUAUCCCAAAUUCACCCCCAAAUAUCCCAAAUUCACCCCAAAAUAUCCCAAAAUCACCCCAAAAUAUCCCAAAAUCACCCCAAAAUACCCCAAACCACCCCAAAAUACCCCAAAAUCACCCCGAAAAUAGCCCUGCCCCUACCUGGACCCCGAGAACAUCGAGAACAGCGUGGCCAUCUGAGACAGCCCCAAAUAUCCCAAAUUCACCCCAAAAAUCACCCCGAAAUACCCCAAAACCACCCCAAAAUUCACCCCGAAAUACCCCAAAACCACCCCAAAAAUAUCCCAAAUUCACCCCGAAAUAGCCCUACCCGUACCUGGACCCCGAGAACAUCGAGAACAGCGUGGCCAUCUGAGACACCCCCAAAAUAUCCCAAAUUCACCCCAAAAAUCACCCCGAAAUACCCCAAAACCACCCCAAAAAUACCCCAAAAUCACCCCGAAAUAGCCCUGCCCCUACCUGGACCCCAAGAACAUCGAGAACUGCGUGGCCAUCUGAGACAGCCCCAAAUAUCCCAAAUUCACCCCAAAAUAGCCCAAAUUCACCCCGAAAUAGCCCUGCCCCUACCUGGACCCCCAGAACAGCGUGGCCAUCUGAGACACCCCGAAAAUAUCCCAAAAAUGCACCAAAAACACCCCGAAAUAUCCCCAAAAAUAUCCCAGAAAUGCCCCAAAAUCCACCCCAAAAAUAUCCCGAAAUCACCCAGUGUGGCACUGGGCUGUACUGGUUUGUACUGGGGGCUGUUACUGGUCUGUACUGGUUUGUACUGGGAAUGUUAUUAUAUAUUGGGAGCUGUUACUGGUCUGUACUGGGAAUGUUGUUAUGUACUGGGAGCCGUUACUGGUCUAUACUGGGAGCCGUUACUGGUCUGUACUGGUCUGUACUGGGGGCUGUUACUGGUCUGUACUGGGAGCCGUUACUGGUCUGUACUGGGAGCUGUUACUGGUCUAUACUGGGAGCCGUUACUGGUCUGUACUGGUCUGUACUGGGGGCUGUUACUGGUCUGUACUGGGAGCCGUUACUGGUCUGUACUGGGAGCUGUUACUGGUCUGCACUGGGAGCUGUUACUGGUCUGUACUGGGAGCCGUUACUGGUCUGUACUGGUCUGUACUGGGGGCUGUUACUGGUCUGUACUGGGAGCCGUUACUGGUCUGUACUGGGAGCUGUUACUGGUCUGCACUGGGAGCUGUUACUGGUCUGUACUGGGAGCUGUUACUGGUCUGUACUGGUCUGUACUGGGAGCUGUUACUGGUCUGUACUGGGAGCCGUUACUGGUCUGUACUGGAGCAUACUGGUCUGUACUGGUCUGUACUGGAGCAUUACUGGUCUGUACUGGUCUAUACUGGAGCAUUACUGGUCUGUACUGGUCUGUACUGGAGCAUACUGGUCUGUACUGGGCAGGAGUGGGGCACACCCAGGGAUGGAACUGGGACAAACUGGGAUGGAACUGGGAUGGACUGGGAUGGAACUGGGGUAGAGGGCAGCCUCAGUGUUGAAACCGGGAUGGAACUGGGAGGGAACUGGGAUGGACUGGGACAAAGUGGGAUGGAACUGGGGUUAACUGGGACAAACUGGGAUGGACUGGGAUGGAACUGGGG
rnacentral:lncRNA from 14 species